GUGGGGAAUUUUGGACAAUGGGCGCAAGCCUGAUCCAGCAAUGCCGCGUGCAGGAAGAAGGCCUUCGGGUUGUAAACUGCUUUUGUACGGAACGAAAAGGCUCUGGUUAAUACCUGGGGCUCAUGACGGUACCGUAAGAAUAAGCACCGGCUAACUACGUGCCAACAGCCGCGGUAAUACGUAGGGUGCAAGCGUUAAUCGGAAUUACUGGGCGUAAAGCGUGCGCAGGCGGUUUUGUAAGACAGAGGUGAAAUCCCCGGGCUCAACCUGGGAAUUGCCUUUGUGACUGCAAGGCUGGAGUGCGGCAGAGGGGGAUGGAAUUCCGCGUGUAGCAGUGAAAUGCGUAGAUAUGCGGAGGAACACCGAUGGCGAAGGCAAUCCCCUGGGCCUGCACUGACGCUCAUGCACGAAAGCGUGGGGAGCAAACAGGAUUAGAUACCCGUGUAGUCC
rnacentral:rRNA from 1 species